AUGUUCUAACUGCAAAGGAUUCGGGGUAGAGGAACGUAACACCUAGCAAAGGAGAUCCUGGCCAUCCGUGACUGGAGAUCCUGGCCAUCCGUGACCAUAUGCUCUGAGGUUCCCGACAGCCACCAGCCGAGUGAAAGAGCCGGCAGCGGCAACUACACCACCUCUCCAGUCUCAAUCCGGUCCCACUCCAGAGAUUAAGCCUAGAUAAAAUGGAUUAAUCUGAUGGCUAAGUCAGAUUCAAAGGAAGCUGUGAGGGAGCUGGUAGCUUGGCUACUUCCUGGAGCAAAGCCUAUGAAAAUGUCGAGAGCUGACUUGGUGUUGUGUUAUGGGCAUCAACACUGUCCCUUUUAAGAUCUGCUAUCUGCACUCACUGUACCAUUACUGCCAACACUGACUUGAUGGAAUGGUCUCGAGAAGUUAUCAAAGCCGUGCAAAAGUCAACAUAUGAAUCAAGCUGGUUCUCAUCACACAA